UACAGAGGUCUCAAGCGUUGUUCGGAUUCAUUGGGCGUAAAGGGUGCGUAGGCGGCGCGGUAAGUCGGGUGUGAAAUCUCGGGGCUUAACUCCGAAACUGCAUUCGAUACUGCCGUGCUUGAGGACUGGAAAGGAGACUGGAAUUUACGGUGUAGCGGUGAAAUGCGUAGAUAUCGUAAGGAAGACCAGUGGCGAAGGCGGGUCUCUGGACAGUUCCUGACGCUGAGGCACGAAGGCUAGGGGAGCAAACAGG
rnacentral:rRNA from 1 species